rnacentral:lncRNA from 1 species
GUACAUAAAUCAAAACAUUUUUAAGCACAAUUUUGUUUAAACAUUUUCUCAUUGUUAAAGGACUUGUCUGUGAACUUGUAUAUGAUGAACAGCAAUCAAAUAAAAGGGUUUCUUUGUUGUAGACCAAGUAAAUUUGACAUUUUCCCUCUCUUAUUCUUCAAUUUUUCCUGCUUCUUAAUAACAGGGACAUUAGAAAGAACCAAUCGAGCAUAUCUUUAGUUUGGCUGCAUCAUUUUUCCAUGUGGACUGCUUCCCAAAAAUGAAACCAGAUAAUCUCCAGAAAACUUCAGCAUGACAUCUCAAAG